rnacentral:tRNA from 1 species
AUUUAUAUAGUUUAUAAAAAACAUUACAUUUUCAUUGUAAAAAAAAAAAUUCUUUUUUUAUAAGUA